AUUGAACGCUGGCGGCAGGCCUAACACAUGCAAGUCGAGCGGAUGACAGGAGCUUGCUCCUUGAUUCAGCGGCGGACGGGUGAGUAAUGCCUAGGAAUCUGCCUGGUAGUGGGGGACAACGUUUCGAAAGGAACGCUAAUACCGCAUACGUCCUACGGGAGAAAGCAGGGGACCUUCGGGCCUUGCGCUAUCAGAUGAGC
rnacentral:rRNA from 1 species